rnacentral:rRNA from 1 species
ACUCAAAGGAAUAGACGGGGGCCCGCACAAGCGGCGGAGCAUGUUGCUUAAUUCGAGGCGACGCGAAGAACCUUACCUGGGCUUGACAUUGCGGGAAAAGCCGUAGAGAUACGGUGUCCUUCGGGGCCCGUAACAGGUGGUGCAUGGCUGUCGUCAGCUCGUGUCGUGAGAUGUUGGGUUAAGUCCCGCAACGAGCGCAACCCUUGUCCUAUGUUGCCAGCGGAUAAUGCCGGGGACUCGUAGGAGACUGCCGGGGUCAACUCGGAGGAAGGUGGGGACGACGUCAAGUCAUCAUGCCCCUUAUGUCCAGGGCUGCAAACAUGCUACAAUGGCCGGUACAAAGGGCUGCUAUCCCGCGAGGGUGAGCGAAUCCCAUAAAGCCGGUCUCAGUUCGGAUCGAAGUCUGCAACUCGACUUCGUGAAGCCGGAGUCGCUAGUAAUCCCGGAUCAGCACGCCGGGGUGAAUACGUUCCCGGGCCUUGUACACACCGCCCGU